rnacentral:rRNA from 1 species
CCCUUAGAUGUUCUGGGCCGCACGCGCGCUACACUGAUGCAUUCAACGAGCCUAUCCUUGACCGACAGGUCCGGGUAUCUUUGAAUCUGCAUCGUGACGGGGAUAGAUUAUUGCAAUUAUUAAUCUUCAACGAGGAAUGCCUAGUAGGCGCAAGUCAUCAGCUUGCGUCGAUUACGUCCCUGCCCUUUGUACACACCGCCCGUCGCUCCUACCGAUUGGGUGUGCUGGUGAAAUGUUCGGAUCGGCCGUUUGUCGCGGUUUCCGCGUCAUGUGGCUGAGAAGUUCAUUAAACCCUCCCACCUAGAGGAAGGAGAAGUCGUAACA